CUCCCCCUCUCCUUGAUUCAGAGUAUCCAGAUGUUUCACUUCCAGCCCAUACGUGUUUCUAUCAUCUACUUAAAAUUGACUGCAGGUGGAAAUGAAUAUUUUAAUUAUAAUUACGUCUGCAUAAGUGACUGUCAUUUUGCUCUUAAAUACCUUUUUAUCUCUAUUCCUGACCUCUCGUGGAGAGAGAAUGGAGAACUGUGAAAAGUAUAAUACACUCUUUGCAGGU